AUGUGGCGUUGUGGUGAUGCGCGUCCCACCCUGACGGUGCUGCCCCCCUCCAAUGAGGAGCUGGAGCAGGGGAAGGCCACGCUCAUGUGCCUGGCCAACAAGGGCUUCCCUUCAGGCUGGAGUCUGGCCUGGAACGUGGACGGCAGCAGCAGCAGCAGCAGCUGGGAGGAGAGCAGGAGCCCUGCGGUGCUGGAGAAGGACGCUCUCUACAGCUGGAGCAGCACCCUGAGGCUCUCUGCAGACCAGUGGAGGAAGGUGGUCUCUGUGACCUGUGAGGCCACCCAGGGCGCCCAGGCUCGAGUCACAGAAAGUCUGAGUAGAGACCAGUGUUCCCAGUAAUGACUCACUGGGACUCUGCUGCUGGUUUUACUGUGAUACUGCUAUCUCUCUCUUUAUUUCAUGUUUCUAAAGAAUAAAUAUUAGCUUGUUGCUUCAUAUGUGUGUGUAUUGUUUCCUGAUAAUCUGUUCAUUAAAUCAAUGAGAAAUACA